rnacentral:rRNA from 1 species
GCGGACUGCGGCGCAGCCUGAUCCAGCCAUGCCGCGUGAGUGAUGAAGGCCUUAGGGUUGUAAAGCUCUUUCACCGAUGAAGAUAAUGACGGUAGUCGGAGAAGAAGCCCCGGCUAACUUCGUGCCAGCAGCCGCGGUAAUA